UACGUAGGGACCGAGCGUUGUCCGGAAUCAUUGGGCGUAAAGAGCGUGUAGGCGGCUUGCUAAGUCUUGCGUGAAAUCUCGGGGCUCAACCCCGAGCGGUCGUGGGAAACUGGCAGGCUGGAGUGCGGGAGAGGAGAAUGGAAUUCCUGGUGUAGCGGUGAAAUGCGCAGAUAUCAGGAAGAACACCCGUGGCGAAGGCGGUUCUCUGGAACGCAACUGACGCUGAGACGCGAAAGCGUGGGGAGCAAACAGG
rnacentral:rRNA from 1 species